UGAGUGAAUUGUUGAACCAAAGGAGC
rnacentral:piRNA from 1 species